CUCCAGCCUGGGCAACAAGAGCGAAACUCUGUCUCUAAAUAAAUAAAUAAGUAAAUAAACAAAUAAAUAAACAUUAAAAGUUCAGUAGAUACUUCUUGGGAAACUUUAUGUGUCUGUAGUAGAGUUAAAAGGUUUUACAGAAGAUAAAUGUUAAAAAAUUAUUUAUUUGGAGUGAAUCUUUGGUGAGUUUUUAUAAUUUUAAUUGCAUCAAACACUGAAUGCUGUGAGAGUCAAUAAAAACUUAGAAGAAAAUCAGGCUCUUUAAAAAAACCAUAAAUUUAUUGCAAAUCUAGAAGUACCAGAAUGUCACGAAUACAGAACAAAUCAGCAAUCUUGUUUGUAUUUUCUUCCAAACAUUUAAAACCUUGAUUAUUGACAUAUUGAAAUUGGCAUACAUUUUGUUUUCAUGCAGAUAACAGAACAGACAUGGAGCAGAUCCCUCAGAAAUCAGUUAUAAAUAUUAAAUUGUAUUGAACAUUCAUAGUAAAAAAUAUGUUGUAAAGUGCUGAAGUCAUGUUAAGUCUGCAAAACUGCCACAAGCUCAAAGUUCUUCUCAAGCAGUGACAGAGAUUUGCUACAUCCACCUUGCUUUAGGUAUGUCUGUUUUUGACAGACACUUUGUCAUUUCCUCCCCCACCCUCCCCAGAGUUUUAUAGAUUGUCCUAUUUCUAUGGCUGAUAAGAUGCUCUACAGAUUGUAGCAGGUAGUGAUGAACUAUGCCACUUUCAUUUCAGUGCAGAGAAAUAUUCAAGCUUGUGUGUACCUGUAACCAAACUAGGCUUGUUACGGUUUUCCCCCCGAGUUGUCAUAAAUUGACAUUAACGAUGAAUAAAGAUGGAGCAGCAAGCAUUGACCAUCACCUGCAGGGUGAGAUUGCGGUAAAAUAGUUCCUGACAGCAAAGCCUGUGAUCAAUUCAGAUUUACAGCCCUACUUUACAGCACAUAGAAGGUGUGACAAUUUAUAGAAUUCCAUGCAGAAACAUCUCUCUAAUUACUCCAUCUUGGUACUUAGAAAUGUGUUUCAUGGGGAAAUGCCGGAAGCUUGUUUUUUAAAUACAGGAACGUUUCUGAACAUAUGACUUCAACUUUGUUUAGUACAAAAACUCGAACAUUGAAAAUCUAGAAAGUUGAAUUUACAAGGCAUUUUAUCUUUUCUCUGCGGGUAACCUUAUUAUUGUAUCUUGUCUGUGAUAAUCAGUGAUAGUACAAUUUCAGAAACCGGCUAUAAAAGCACAAUACCGUAAUUAUUAAAAUGUCAUCACCCUUUCAAUAGAUAUCAUACUUGAUUUCCUAGAAUGUUGAUUUGAUUCGUGUGAUUAAAAAUUUCAAAUUUUUACAACCUACUUUAUCAUGUCCAGACUUACCUUAGUAACCCAAUCAAAUUCCUAUUGUAUAGGUUUAAAAGCAAUUUUACAAAUGGCUUGUAAUAAAUGAAUGUUUCCUGAUUCAAGAUAAAAAUUUGGAAAUGAUUAAUCCAUUUUGAACUCAGAUUAUACCACAGAUCAGAGGAAUUUUCCAUCAAGCUUAAAAGCAAAUUUAAAAAUAAUCUGAGAUAGUGAAUUAAAUUA